CUUGAACGCUGGCGGCAGGCCUAACACAUGCAAGUCGAACGCGUGGCGGACGGGUGAGUAAUGUCUGGGAAACUGCCCGAUGGAGGGGGAUAACUACUGGAAACGGUAGCUAAUCCCGCAUACCAUCGGAUGUGCCCAGAUGGGAUUAGCUAGUAGGUGGGAUAACGGCUCACCUAGGCGACGAUCCCUAGCUGGUCUGCGAGGAUGACCAGCCACACUGGACGUGAGACACGGUCCAGACUCCUACGGGAGGCAGCAGUGGGGAAUAUUGCACAAUGGGCGCAAGCCGGAUGCAGCCAGGACGCGUGUAUGAAGAAGGCCUUCGGGUUGUAAAGUACUUUCAGCGAGGAGGCGUUACGCGCAGAAGAAGCACCGGCUAACUCCGUGCCAGCAGCCGCGGUAAUAC
rnacentral:rRNA from 1 species